GACGAACGCUGGCGGCGUGCUUAACACAUGCAAGUCGAACGGUGAAGCGCCUUCCUUUUUGGUGGGUGUGGAUGAGUGGCGAACGGGUGAGUAACACGUGAGUAACCUGCUCCCUCCUUCUGGAUAACGGCAUGAAAGUGUGGCUAAUACGGGAUAUUCUGAGUCUGUCGCAUGAUGGGUCUGGGAAAGAUAUUGUUUCGGUGGGGGAUGGGCUCGCGGCCUAUUAGCUUGUUGGUGGGGUAAUGGCGUACCAAGGAGGCGAUGCGUAGCCGCCCUGCUGGGAGGGUCGACGGUCACAGUGGUACUGCGACGCCGAGCAGACUCCUACGGGAGGCAGCAGUGAGGAAUACGGCACGGGGGGAGGAAGCAUGGUGCAGCGACGCGGCGUGAAGGAUGGACGCCGUCGGGUAGUGAACUUCUUUCGCCAGUGAAGCAGGCCGGACGUGUUUGUGCGUGGGUUGACGGUAGCUGGAUAAGAAGCGACGGCUAACUACGUG
rnacentral:rRNA from 1 species